UAGGGAAUCUUCCGCAAUGGACGCAAGUCUGACGGAGCAACGCCGCGUGAGUGAAGAAGGAUUUCGGUUCGUAAAACUCUGUUGUUAGAGAAGAACAGCGCAUAGAGUAACUGUUAUGCGUGUGACGGUAUCUAACCAGAAAGCCACGGCUAACUACGUGCCAGCAGCCGCGGUAAUACGUAGGUGGCAAGCGUUGUCCGGAUUUAUUGGGCGUAAAGCGAGCGCAGGCGGUCAAUUAAGUCUGAUGUGAAAGCCCCCGGCUCAACCGGGGAGGGUCAUUGGAAACUGGUUGACUUGAUUGCAGAAGAGGAGAGUGGAAUUCCAUGUGUAGCGGUGAAAUGCGUAGAUAUAUGGAGGAACACCAGUGGCGAAGGCGACUCUCUGGUCUGUAACUGACGCUGAGGCUCGAAAGCGUGGGUAGCAAACAGG
rnacentral:rRNA from 1 species